CUGGAGUCUGNAACCCGACUCCACGAAGCUGGAUUCGCUAGUAAUCGCGCAUCAGCCACGGCGCGGUGAAUACGUUCCCGGGCCUUGUACACACCGCCCGUCAAGCCAUGGGAGUCGGGAGUGCCUGAAGUGCGUGAGCGCGAGCAGCGCCCUAGGGCAAAACCGAUGACUGGGGCUAAGUCGUAACAAGGUAUC
rnacentral:rRNA from 1 species